rnacentral:tRNA from 1 species
UAUGUUUUAGUAUAUAAUGUAUAAAAGUUUUUGAUGCUUAAGGAAAUAUAUUAUUUCUAUUAAAUAUAA